CCCGCGAGCCUGCAUCGUGUCGCUCCCCUCAUCCAGCGCCCGAUCUAGAUCGAGGGCAAGAGUCCCUCGAGUGCUUGUAGCUCAGCCUCCCGCUCGUUCGAGCCGUCGGUCAGCGAAGCUCCGGCGAGCCCCAUCGCCAGCGACCACAAGUCUCGGUGUGCCUCGCCCUUCCUCUCCACCUACUCUCUUCCUCCCGGCUCUCCCUCCAUCACUCAUAUUUGCCUAUCUUUCUCCGAGGGAGCCACUUUGAGCCGCCGCCAUGGAUUUUAGCGACCGAGCCAGGCCAAGCCUUGUCGUCGCCCGGAUUGGGUUCCCCGUGCCCGGAUCCGUCCAGAUCCUAUCGGUCCCCGUCGAAUUGCGCGACCGUGACCCAUCCCUGCCAUCGCUGGUCCAGCCUCGCCGCCAUGGUCGCCUCUGUGCAACGUGUGCACGCGAGGACGAUGAUGAUCCCACAACAUAUUGCCUACGUGGGCUGAAUCCAGCGCUGGCCUCGGCCUAGCGCUUCGAGGCCCAUCUUCAACCUCCAGCGCCAAGGCCCAGACAUCACACCAGCCUCGGCGUGCACCAACUCCGGCCAAAUUCCCAUUUGGUGAGGACGGCCAGCUCCUAUCCAGCGCGUGUGCCCGGUUUAUUAAGAUGCACCUGCCUGUGUCAGCCCAAGAUGCUCCAGAAUUGGCCCAUUAUUGUUUUUUCCACGUUCUGUGAAUUUAUCAAAUAUCUAGUGAAAAGCAGAAUUACAG
rnacentral:lncRNA from 1 species